UACGUAGGGGGCGAGCGUUGUCCGGAAUUAUUGGGCGUAAAGAGCGUGUAGGCGGUUCGGUAAGUCUGCCGUGAAAACCUGGGGCUCAACCCCGGGCGUGCGGUGGAUACUGCCGGGCUAGAGGGUGGUAGAGGCGAGUGGAAUUCCCGGUGUAGCGGUGAAAUGCGCAGAUAUCGGGAGGAACACCAGUAGCGAAGGCGGCUCGCUGGGCCAUUCCUGACGCUGAGACGCGAAAGCGUGGGGAGCGAACAGG
rnacentral:rRNA from 1 species